ACCUUAUUCAGAGUCGGUGGAGCUACAUAGGAGCUAUGAAACCGCAGCAACCCCUUGUAAAGGAAGGUGCUAACCUGAGCGAAGCAAUUGUUUCGAUCAAUAAGAU
rnacentral:ncRNA from 2 species